UACGGGGGGAGCAAGCGUUGUUCGGAUUUACUGGGCGUAAAGGGCGCGUAGGCGGCGUAACAAGUCACUUGUGAAAUCUCCGGGCUUAACCCGGAGCGGCCAAGUGAUACUGUUGUACUAGAGUGCGGAAGGGGCUACUGGAAUUCUCGGUGUAGCGGUGAAAUGCGUAGAUAUCGAGAGGAACACCUGCGGCGAAGGCGGGUAGCUGGGCCGACACUGACGCUGAGGCGCGAAAGCCAGGGGAGCGAACGGG
rnacentral:rRNA from 1 species